CCUCUGAGUUUUGCUACCUUUUCACAUGGAGGGCAUUCUGGCUAUGAAGCUUCUAACAGAGAUCUUGGAGAGCACCCAUAAAACCACAGCGGAAGGAAUGGUGUUGUUUUCACUUUGGUAAUUCAGGAGUGGCCAGCCAUUGAAUGCAACCAAUGACAAACUGUGCAGGAGGUGAUAACCUAAGCUUCCACAGGCUCCUAAUUUGUAUAAACAAGUACCAGCCAGAUCUUCUCUGUGUAGCCAAGCAGUGUCCUCCAAUACAUCUCCGUUCAACCUGGCCCUCUGGGUACAAUCCACUCCCAAGCCCACCAACCCCAAGCCGCAGUGCAACAAGAAGGCAGGCAGGAAGGAGACAAAACCCUUCCUCCGUGCCAGUGGAUCUCCUCAGCAGGACCAAAUUGACAGCCCUUAAAAGGCGGCUGACGACAAGCGGCAUUAAUUAAGUCAUUGCCGGACUGUAAUUGUGUUAAGAAGUAAAAAAUCUAAUAUGAGAAA
rnacentral:lncRNA from 1 species